AGGAGCAAAUUAGAUAAGUAAAGUAAGAUAUUUUUUAAAGGAAAAACUUCAAAAAACCCCCCCUGUGAUUUCGCGCAUUUUCACUUUGCUACCAUGUGGUUUAAAACGUAUCAAUUUGCCCCCCUGUGGUUUCGUUUUUAUCUUUUUGUUAUCAAUUUUAUUAUUAUUAUUUUUUUAAAUCAGUGACAAAGUUAAAAUUAAAGGAUACUAAAGUGACUAUUCGAUAAAUAUAGAUGGUUAUCUGAAAUUUUUUGUAUAUAAUUUAACGAAAUAUUAACAAAAAAGCUUGCGAAAAAAUAAAAAUGAAACCACAGAGGGGUAAAUUAAUACGUUUUAAACCACAGGGUAGCAAAGUGAGAAUGCACGAAACCACAGGGGGGGUUUUUGAAGUUUUUCCUUUUUUAAAAGUUGUAACAAAUUUUUCGGUAUUUAGAAAUGAAUAU
rnacentral:lncRNA from 1 species